rnacentral:rRNA from 1 species
UACGGGGGGGGCAAGCGUUGUUCGGAAUUACUGGGCGUAAAGGGCGCGUAGGCGGUUUGCUAAGUUGGAUGUGAAAACUCUGGGCUUAACCCAGAGCCUGCAUCCAAAACUGGCGAACUUGAGUACUGGAGGGGAAAGCGGAAUUCCUGGUGUAGCGGUGAAAUGCGUAGAUAUCAGGAGGAACACCGGUGGCGAAGGCGGCUUUCUGGACAGUAACUGACGCUGAGGCGCGAAAGCUAGGGGAG